UAGUUGCCAGCACGAGAGGGUGGGCACUCUAAAGGUGACUGCCGGUGACAAACCGGAGGAAGGUGGGGAUGACGUCAAAUCAUCAUGCCCCUUAAGACCUGGGCUACACACGUGCUACAAUGGCCGGUACAACGGGAGGCGAAGCCGCGAGGCGGAGCGGAAUCCUUAAAAGCCGGUCUCAGUUCGGAUUGCAGGCUGCAACUCGCCUGCAUGAAGUCGGAAUUGCUAGUAAUCGCGGAUCAGCAUGCCGCGGUGAAUACGUUCCCGGGUCUUGUACACACCGCCCGUCACACCACGAGAGUCUGCAACACCCGAAGUCGGUGAGGUAACCCGUAUGGGAGCCAGCCGCCGAAGGUGGGGCAGAUGAUUGGGGUG
rnacentral:rRNA from 1 species